rnacentral:rRNA from 1 species
AACGAACGCUGGCGGCGCGCCUAAUACAUGCAAGUCGAGCGAGAAGGUGUAGCGAAUACACUUGUAAAGCGGCGAACGGGUGAGGAAUACAUGGGUAACCUACCCUCGAGUGGGGAAGUAACUAGCCGAAAGGUUAGCUAAUACCGCGUACGCUUCCGGGACUGCGGUUCCGGAAGGAAAGCGGAUACUGUGAGUAUCGCGCUCUUGGAUGGGCUCAUGUCCUAUCAGCUUGUUGGGUGAGGUAACGGACUCACCAAGGCUUCGACGGGUAGCUGGUCUGAGAGGACGAUCAGCCACACUGGCACUGCGACACGGGCCGAGGACUCCUACGGGAGGCGAGUCAGUGGGGGAAUCUUGCGCAAUGGGCGAAAGCCUGACGCAGCGACGCCG